rnacentral:snRNA from 1 species
AUACUGACCUGGCAGGGGAGAUACCAUGAUCAGGAAGGUGGUUUUCCCAGAGUGAGGCUUAUCAAUUGCACUCGGGAUGUGCUGACCCCUGCGAUUUCCCCAUAUGUGGGAAACUCGACUGCAUGAUUUGUGGUCGUGGGGGACUGCGUUCUCCAA